rnacentral:lncRNA from 1 species
GGGGUAUCAAGGGGGCUAAUUAGAGAGGGGUGUUGAGGGGGGUUGGAUCUGUAAACCAUCAGGCAGUGACUGGCAGCCCCACUGGGUUUGUCAUCACAGCUUCAGAAACUGUAACAGGCCCUUAUGUUUCCUUCCUAACUACGGAGUAAUUAACGGUUCCCCUCAGACUCUCAAUAGGCCUAUACUCUGUUACACCAAGAAGUUGCACACAGUAGAGCUCAGUGACCGUGAUGUAAGUUUAGAUGUGCAGCAUUGUAAAUGAGGACCAUGGAGCUUAACCCACCCUGUUGGACAGUCAUUCAUUAACCCCUUGUAACAUCUGUACUAUCUCCACCUAGCAUCUACACACCAGCCGGCCAGUAAUGACAGACAGACUGACAGACAGACACACCCGAUCUGUAAUAAAACACACAGACACCUUCACAAUCACAUGCACGCACAACCUCUGAAUAAUGACAGACAGACUGACAGAAAGAGAGAGCACAGGAACUUCAAAAGAACAGGAGAAAUGGAAAAUACUAAACACAGGUGCUUCUGUUUCAGCCACAAAACAAACCACAGCUAUGUACAACUCUGUAAUAGUAGGCUUUAGCUUCUCCUACCCAUCUAACAAAGUCACAAUUCAUGAGUUUGUCCACCACUGAGUGCCACUGCCACAGACUGAAAACUCCACACUCCUCUGUUUUUUUGUCCCUCCUCUUUCCCGCUAACACUGGUCCUGAAACAACCUCUGUUCUCCGAGUUUCCUCAAUCACUCUCCUCUUGGUAAUUAAUAGAUUCAGUCACUAAAACAACACCAUUAAAGGAGAGAAGGAGAAUGUAAAUGCACCAUCUUGGCUUCAGCUAUUAUCUUGGCUAACAUAGCUAUGGAUUGUUCUACAUCCUACCCUGAUUCAGAUAUACACUCAUUGUCUUGGCAUGCUUGAUUCAAUAGCUCUUGAGGUGAGAAUAUAUAAAGCGAACUUUACCUCGGUGCCGAACCAAAACAAAUACCUACCGGCUCUCUAAAAAGUCAGGUAAACAAUACUUUCCUAUGGAUAUUUUGCCUCAAAUUUCAAGCAGCUGAAGGACAAAGCGCACAGACAACCGGUAGAGUAAGUUUAAAUAUAAUUGUAUCCAACAUUCUGGCUUGUAAGGAACAUAUACACGAUUUUGCAGGCAUUCGUUUCAGGCUGUAUAUACCAAUGAAUUGUGUAUUACAGCCUGAUUUAUCAGACUAGAGUAGGGUUCGGGUAGACUAGACUAAAGUGAGGACUAGGUUUUGGGACUGGGCCAUGGUCAAGGAUCAGGGCUGUACAGCAAAUCCCCUAUGUGGAGGUCGUGAACAGUGUUGAAGGGACAAGAGGCCACAGUUCUGAAGAAGAUAUGGCGGUGGAUGAACCACAAGCAGUUGCAAAUGUUAUAUGUU